AGAAUGUAGAUUUUUAAGUGAGAAUCCCAAUGUUUCCCUUGGCGAUAGACCUCAUUCUUUUCUUCUAGAAGUUUAUACUCAGUAAAUUCUAACUAUCAUGUAUAAUAAUUAGAUGAGAGCCGGGGUUUUCUCAAUGUCCCCAUAGGAAGCAUGGCUUUGGAAUGAGGCCUAGUUUAAGCAUUUGGAAGCAUUUAUGGAAAGUGAGAACUGUGCUUGAAUUCUCUGCUUAAUUAAUGUGCUUGGAUUUCAUGUUUUCAGUCUACUCAACAAUAUUUAAUCAACAAUUAACACUUCUCAGACACAUACACUCAAAUGAAGCAUUUUACUUGACUAUAAAACAACUCUGGAUGUUUGGAAAUCUUUCCAGAAUAGCUGAUCUAGUGCUGGUGUCAACCUUUUUUCUUCUGCAUUAUUUUCUGCUUUCACAUGAAUACAACACAUCCCAAUAAUAGAGCUCCCAAAAGGCAUCUCUACUUAUUGUCUUUGUUAAAUGCUUAUUGGCUGAGAAGACAACAGAAACUCUAGAUAGCUGAGUAACAGAAACUCAGAUAGCUCGCUGAAAAUGACAGUCAUUCAUGGGAGAAAUAGGUAGGUUUUGUGUGUGGAGAAGAAACUUCCUUCCGUAAGUCAUUCUCUAAGAUUCCCGAGGGUAGUGCAUUUUUUUAGGUGCUUUAAAAACUAUGUCUCAAGCUAGCCAAAUCAUCUGAAUUUUAUUAGCAUUCGUAUAUUUUAGAAUUUUAUUUCCAUGAUCCAACAAUUCCACUCUUAGCUACAUACCCAAACAAACUGAAAACAGGUACUCAAACAAAUACUUGUGCAUGAAUAUUCACAGCAGCACUAUUCACAACAGCUAAGAGGUGGAAAUAGCCCAAAGUUCAUCCACUGAUGAAUGGAUAAAUAGAAGGUAGGAUAAGUGUACAAUGGAAUAUUAUUUAGCCAUAAAAAAGCAUGAAGGACUGAUACUUGCUACAACAUGGAUAAACCUAAAAAAAACACACACACACACACACACACUAUGGAAACUGAAAGAAGCCAGACAUAAAAGGUCACAGAUAGUAUGACUCCAUCUAUAUGAAAUAUCCAGAACCGAUAAACCUAUAGAAACAGAAAAUUGACGGGUGGUUACCAGGGGCUGGGGGAGGAGGAGUACGUACUUCAUGGGUACAGAGUUUUAUUUUGGGGCGAUGAAAAGAUCUUGGAACUAGAAAAAGGUGGUGAUUGCACAACAUUGUGAAUGUACUACACGAUGCUUGGUUGUUCACUUUGACGUGGUUAAUUUUAGGUUAUGUGAAUUUCACCUUAAUAAUUAAAAAAAAAAAAAAAAGCCAAAAAGCCCUUGUUUCCCAGGGAUAUCAAGUUCCUCUGAUUUGAAGCGAGGGUGAGGAGUUUUACUGAUUGGACAUGUCUCCCUGAAGGUCACUCCCGUUCCCUUAUAUACUACACUGGAGGAAUGUGAUGCCCUUACUAUUCUUCAAGGGAUGAUGGCAGAACCUUUGCCUCCGGUAGGUGUUUGGUAGAUGCUGUGGGAAGGGAAAAUCAAUCGUUACUAAUAUGCUGCUCCUUCUCUGGUGUGUCCCUAUAGUGUUCGGUGUUCCAUUAACAGGAGGGGGAUGUUCAAGAAUAGCAAUUCUACUUGAACAGCAAUAUUUCUCAAGAGAUUCACCAUAUCUAUUACCACCGGAAGGAAUUGAAGAAUGCCUGUAGUGAAGAAAACUGGCAAGGGAAACAAAAGCAAAAUUAAACUAUUGGGACUACACCACAAUAAGAAG